UAGGCCGAGAAAGGAUUGGAUUGGAUUAUUUUAGCACAAAAAGGAAAGAAAAGAAUGGCGUGCAGGAGCAUGCUUCGUUCAGGGACUCUCAUAGAACCCAUUCUACUCCGUACUUUCAAUUUCAAUCCUCAUAAGCAUCACAUAACCUCACGUACCAAAUGUAACAACCUCACCGCAAUUAGGUCACGCCGCUUUCAUCCUCCAAAACCUCCUCUCUCUUGUUCUCUCAAUCAAACGCCGUCGUCCCACCACCAGGAAGAUCCUCCUCCGGACACCGUCUUCAAGGCCAUUUCAGAGGUUUCCAAGGUCGAAGAGAGCGUUGGCCAAACGACAAACGUGGUUAUUGGAACCACUGUUACAGAUGAUUCUAACAAAGAGUGGUUGGCUUUGGACGAGAAGGUGAACUCCUACCCAACUGUUCGAGGAUUCACAGCAAUUGGAACGGGAGGUGAGGAUUUUGUGCAUGCCAUGGUUGUUGCUGUUGAAUCUGUGAUCCAACAACCAAUUUCUCAGGGAUAUGUGAAGCAGAAGUUAUCAUCAGGGGGCAAAUACGUAUCUGUAAAUAUUGGGCCAAUUCAAGUUGUUUCCAGUGAACAGGUCCAAGCAGUAUAUAGUGCCAUGAGGAGGGACAACCGAGUGAAAUACUUUUUAUAAUCUGUCAAUUAUUUUGUGGAGUAGUACACCACGAUAGCAAGGAUUCAACAGUGGAGCUAAGAUGAGUUUUAAAGAGAGGUGAAGCUAGGAGAAAUGGGCUGGGAGCUACAAAGAAGAUAUCAAGCCAAAAGCAAAUUGUCACUAUCAUUAAUCCUAUAUGGCAACUAGCUUUGAGCACUUUUGGAUGCAAUGUGACAGUUUCACAAACAUAUCAACAUCAAGCUUUUAGAAGUCAAAUAAGGAAUCAAAGGAGUAUGUUAGAUAAUCUUAAAUAUAUAGUGGUUAAUAUUUUUAAUUAGUUGCAACAUAUUUUUGUUAACAAAUUUAGUUUGUUUGUUUUUUCGUCUCGUGUGCGUCUCAGUUUUUAUUCAACACUAAGUACACUUCUUCUUUUUCCCUUAUUAAAUGCCUCUAGAGAUAGCAGAAAAACCAUUCAGAAGUUAAAGAGAAAGUUGACCAAAGUUUCAGAAAAAAACUUGGAAGGAUUAGAAAAGACAAAGAGAUAAAGAAGUUGAAGUGAAUAAGGAAGGUGGAUAUGGCCAUUCAAGUAGGAUUGCAUGGCUUGAUGUAAUGGAAGGAACUCCUUUUGGUCUAGAUUUUUUGAACUUACAGUUAAACUUUACUUCAAAAAUUAAGUGAAAGAUGUUUAGAUAUUUUUCUUACAGUAUUGUUUAUUCUUUGGUUAAAUUACUUUUUUUGUCCCUCUAUUUGUUAUGAAAUUUCAUUUUGGUCCUCAA